AUAACGGUCCUAAGGUAGCGAAAUUCCUUGUCAGGUAAGUUCUGACCCGCACGAAUGGCGUAAUGAUUUGGGCACUGUCUCGACAGCCCGCCCGGCGAAAUUGUAGUACUGGUGAAGAUGCCAGUUACCCGCAACUAGACGGAAAGACCCCAUGGAGCUUUACUGCAGUUUAAUACUGGGAAUCGGUAAUUCAUGUACAGGAUAGGUGGGAGACUGGGAAGCAUGGCCGUCAGGUCGUGUGGAGUCACCGGUGGGAUACCACUCUUGGAUUGCUGGUUUCCUAACCUGCGGCCCUGAAUCGGGUCGGGGGACACUGUUAGACGGGCAGUUUGACUGGGGCGGUCGCCUCCAAAAGAGUAACGGAGGCGCUCAAAGGUUCGUUCAGCACGGACGGAAAUCGUGCAUUGAGUGUAAACGCAUAAACGAGCCUAACUGCGAGACCGACGGGUCGAGCAGUAACGAAAGUUGGAGUUAGUGAUCCGGUGGUAUGUGAGUGGAAAUGCCAUCGCUCAACGGAUAAAAGCUACCCUGGGGAUAACAGGCUGAUCUCCCCCAAGAGUCCACAUCGACGGGGAGGUUUGGCACCUCGAUGUCGGCUCAUCGCAUCCUGGGGCUGAAUUCGGUCCCAAGGGUUUGGCUGUUCGCCAAUUAAAGCGGCACGCGAGCUGGGUUCAGAACGUCGUGAGACAGUUCGGUCCCUAUCUGUUGCGGGCGUAAGAGAUUUGAAGGGAGCUGUCCUUAGUACGAGAGGACCGGGAUGGACGUACCUCUGGUGCACCAGUUGUCCUGCCAAGGGCAUAGCUGGGUAGCUAUGUACGGACGAGAUAAACGCUGAAAGCAUCUAAGCGUGAAACUCCCCCUAAGAUGAGAUCUCUCAUCCUUCAAGGAGUAAGGACCCAGAAAGACGAUCUGGUUGAUAGGCCGAAGGUGGAAGCGCAGUAAUGUGUGCAGCUGAUCGGUACUAAUAGUCCGAGGGCUUGACCUA
rnacentral:rRNA from 1 species